UCACACAAAGAACAGGUAAAAGCAAGCAUUGGUUAUGUAGUAUUUUGAUUUCUUUAUAAAUAGCAUAUACGUCGGUGCCCCAUCGUAAAAUCAUUGACAGAUAUGUAUGAUUGAAAUACCCAAUAUAAGAUUCAAAAUUUUAUUUUCAAUACAGAAGCUAGAUUGUAUGAAUUUAUGAACUAAGGAAUGAGUUCAAAAUAAAUACUGUCAUCUCCAGAUAUGCUCACGAGAAGUUACCCAGGAUAUAUUGCGGUGAAACUGGGACCUCAUCUCACAAAUUUAACACUUGAAAGUCAGAUUGUGGGGACGGGAUACAAAUCAGCGUAUAUUCUUGGCCAAAACGAGACCAAUCUGAACAUCAGUACUGUCGCACACCCUGGAUUCUACGUCAUAAAGCUACUACAGAACAGAUCGCUCCUCACUACCAGAUACAUCCAUGCAGUUUGCAGGAAACAAGUAAACCUCAAUCUGAAUCAAAAUUAUAAGAUAGAAUCGCCAGAAUUUCCUCUGGCAUAUCACGCAGGCAUACGAUGUUCUUGGAACGUUACCAAAGUGAGCAAUAACACAUGGUUCAAGAUUUAUACUGAGGGGCGUGGCUUUGGAUGUUUGAUGUCAUUCAAAAGCGAUUUUAAGGAUAAAUUGUGCUCACAGACAGAGAAAAACAAUACUUUAGUAGUACCCAGCGAUUCCCUGGAUAUAAGAUUUUCCUCCAUAAAAUCAGGUCCGCCGUCUUAUAUAUACGUAGAAGUUAUACCCCAGUUAUUACCACCCGCUAACCUAUCCGCUACAGCAUUCAAUGAUUCCAUCCACAUUGACUGGGUCUGGAACGGAACUUACUAUGAUGAUCUUAGUUGUGUGAUUGAAUAUGGCGUUCAUCCGUCCAUGGUGUACAGUAAGGUACCCAGCGACUGCAGGGAUGGUUCAUACAUAUUGGAUACCAGUUCUCACAGAGGUCAGAUCUACCAGAUUUCAAUGUUCGCACAAACAUCUUUUUGGGAAAGUGAAAGGUUGGAUUAUGUUAACUUAACAUCAGAAUGCUAUAAUGAAUUUUUUAUCAAAGGAGAAAUGGAGAUAACCAUAGUGUCGGAUGGUUACCCAUUCCAUUUACAACCUUUUUCUAUUUGUCAAUGGAGCAUCAGUACAGAGGAGGAUAACUAUUUGAAAGUUUCCAUCCGGGAUCUUGAUUUAUGCUAUAAUCAAGACGACUGUCAAACAACGUGUCUACAGAUUGGAAAAACUGUAAAACAUUGUUCCGGUUCUUCAGAAAGGACAGACUAUCUGAUACAGAGCAACAGCACAUUCAUCAUUUUGAAUACCACUAAUGCAUUAGGUGGGCGGGGUUUCAAUGUGUCCGUCAAGGCAAUAGAUUCCCCACCCUCGUUUAUAGAUGAUAUUCACGUACAGAGCGAUCAUGAUUUCAUCAACGUUACCUGGAAUCCCUAUCGCGGGGAAAAGCAAUUAUUGAGAUACAUCGUCACCUAUAGCAUAGUACCGGAAGUGGCGUAUCAUGUGAUACCAAUACAUGUUAAUAACACAUUUUAUGUCAUCAACACCAGAGAUCACAAGGGUCAGCUGUUUGCUAUCAAGCUAUCUUAUCUGACUGAGGGCGGAGAAGGAAUUGCGUCAAGUGUUAAGAUAAUUAGAUCAGCAUGUGGUUACACGGUCAAAUUGCACCAUAACCAAAGCCUUAAUAUUACAUCACCUGGGAUAAAUGGCGGCUACCUUUCAAAUGUCUACUGCAAGUGGAAUAUCAUGACGGACCAGUCUAUUUGGUAUAAGUUCCAAUUCACCAAAAUCGAUAUGGAAAAUUCUUCGAUGUGCCAGAAAGAUUAUGUGGAAUUUCCUAUGAACCAGAAGUUCUGUGGCAAAGGAACGCAGUCACCCGUCAUCAUAAAAGACAACCAAGCGACUGUAGUGUUUGUCACGGACGACAGCAACACUGGUGUAGGCUUCAGUGGCAGCUUAACGCCAUUAUAUCCACCAUCAAGUAAACCAAGGAGUCUAACAGUCACUCCGACGCAGUACGGACUCCUAUUGAAAUGGAGGACACCUUCAUUAAACCCGACUUACGUCCGAGGAUACAGAAUUCAUUAUAGAUGUUAUGGACAAGCAGAUGUAAAAGAAACCAUCGUAUCAUCCAAUGAAAAUGUGGCUUUCAUCAACACAAGGUUGUAUCCGGGGAUUCUGUUUGAAGUAUGGAUGUCUGCCAUUGGGGAAGCAGACGAUAGUGAACUAACUGACAGCGUGCAGGCUUUGUCGGGUCAUAGUAAACGAAGAUAAGAUUUCUUGUUUCAUUUCUUCGUAAAGUUUUCAAAACCACUAGUCUAGCAGUUCGCUGAUAAGUUGAUCCCAUCAUUACUACAGAAUGUGGAGAAGACCUAAUGAUUAAUAAGUCCACGAGAUAUAUCAGUACCCCAACAUACCCACGAUUCGAACAUCUGAUGUCUCAAUGUUCAUGGACCAUUUCAUCAAUGCAUCGGUUCACGGUGACCAUCAUGGAUAUUCAUUGCUCAUCCCCAGCCACAAACACUACUGAUAGUGAGAUUUUAAUGAUAAACCAUACAAAGCACCUGCUAAAAGGAGUUACUAAGGGGAUGCAGUUUUCGUUUCAUGGAAAUGUAAAAAUUGAAAUUCGCAGCAAGACGUAUGCUAUAUUAGCAGCGGCACAACCAAUUGCUGAUCAGAAUACUCCGCACCGCGGCAGCUCGGCAUCGGACGGUAGAAAAUACGAUAUCAGCUGACUAGUACCAGUGCUCAUACACCUUGUAGUACUCACUAUUUGAGAUCUUAUCAGGUGAUGUCCAUCCUAAAAGCGACACAGAUCAAACUUAUUCUGCUCUUUAAGUUCAUCACAUUUACAUUUAAGUGAUUGUGUGUAUAUCAAGUAUACAGUGCAUGAAAAGUCACAUGUACAGGUAUCUAUAUUUUGUAAGGGUGAGGACAUUUUUAAAUUGUAAAAGCUUUCUUGCUAUUCCUGCAAUCCCUCUGUAUAUCAUAUCACAAUAAUUAUAUCUCGGUGUUUCAGCGCUUUCAUAAAACGUCAUUACAUCCGUCCAUUGGUUGCGUGUUUAUUAGGUCACCUGAGUCACCCAGAUGACUUUUACUAUUGGUCUGCGGCCGUCGUCAUGCUCAAAUAAUUCAAAAAUAUUCUCUUCCAAUGCAAAACGUUAAACAAUAUACAUGUAAAACAAACAAACCAAACUUGGCAUGUAGUGUUUGUGUAAAUUAUCUAAAUAAAAUCUUCUUUAAUGCUAUUGAUACGAAAUUGAAACUAAAUGGAUAUUUAGAAGGUACUGGUAGCCC